AGCUUGCUUCUCUGAUGUUAGCGGCGGACGGGUGAGUAACACGUGGGUAACCUACCUAUAAGACUGGGAUAACUCCGGGAAACCGGGGCUAAUACCGGAUAAUAUUUUGAACCGCAUGGUUCAAUAGUGAAAGACGGUUUCGGCUGUCACUUAUAGAUGGACCCGCGCCGUAUUAGCUAGUUGGUAAGGUAACGGCUUACCAAGGCGACGAUACGUAGCCGACCUGAGAGGGUGAUCGGCCACACUGGAACUGAGACACGGUCCAGACUCCUACGGGAGGCAGCAGUAGGGAAUCUUCCGCAAUGGGCGAAAGCCUGACGGAGCAACGCCGCGUGAGUGAUGAAGGUCUUCGGAUCGUAAAACUCUGUUGUUAGGGAAGAACAAAUUUGUUAGUAACUGAACAAGUCUUGACGGUACCUAACCAGAAAGCCACGGCUAACUACGUGCCAGCAGCCGCGGUAAUACGUAGGUGGCAAGCGUUAUCCGGAAUUAUUGGGCGUAAAGCGCGCGUAGGCGGUUUCUUAAGUCUGAUGUGAAAGCCCACGGCUCAACCGUGGAGGGUCAUUGGAAACUGGGAAACUUGAGUGCAGAAGAGGAGAGUGGAAUUCCAUGUGUAGCGGUGAAAUGCGCAGAGAUAUGGAGGAACACCAGUGGCGAAGGCGGCUCUCUGGUCUGUAACUGACGCUGAUGUGCGAAAGCGUGGGGAUCAAACAGGAUUAGAUACCCUGGUAGUCCACGCCGUAAACGAUGAGUGCUAAGUGUUAGGGGGUUUCCGCCCCUUAGUGCUGCAGCUAACGCAUUAAGCACUCCGCCUGGGGAGUACGACCGCAAGGUUGAAACUCAAAGGAAUUGACGGGGACCCGCACAAGCGGUGGAGCAUGUGGUUUAAUUCGAAGCAACGCGAAGAACCUUACCAAAUCUUGACAUCCUUUGACCGCUCUAGAGAUAGAGUCUUCCCCUUCGGGGGACAAAGUGACAGGUGGUGCAUGGUUGUCGUCAGCUCGUGUCGUGAGAUGUUGGGUUAAGUCCCGCAACGAGCGCAACCCUUAAGCUUAGUUGCCAUCAUUAAGUUGGGCACUCUAGGUUGACUGCCGGUGACAAACCGGAGGAAGGUGGGGAUGACGUCAAAUCAUCAUGCCCCUUAUGAUUUGGGCUACACACGUGCUACAAUGGAUAAUACAAAGGGCAGCGAAUCCGCGAGGCCAAGCAAAUCCCAUAAAAUUAUUCUCAGUUCGGAUUGUAGUCUGCAACUCGACUACAUGAAGCUGGAAUCGCUAGUAAUCGUAGAUCAGCAUGCUACGGUGAAUACGUUCCCGGGUCUUGUACACACCGCCCGUCACACCACGAGAGUUUGUAACACCCGAAGCCGGUGGAGUAACC
rnacentral:rRNA from 1 species